rnacentral:tRNA from 1 species
GAGGCCGUCGCUCAAGGCGGCUCCAAAAGGCAGUCGGGUCGCGAACUGGCUGUCGAGUAGGUGAUCGCCCCCGAGGGCAACUUCUCUACGAAGGAAGAUGCGGGUGAAACUCCCGUCGGCCUCUCCA